AUUUUAGACAAUUUUUGUUAGUGCGUAUGGAAAAGAUAUAUUCAGACGACGGUGUUUUGCGCGCAUGCAAUUUUUCAGGCCCGGAGGUUAUAUAUGGGAGUGGGAUGAGUCGAUGGAAAAAAGAAACAGAAGAGAAUUACAGUGACUUCGGUUACUGUAGUUAGCUGCUGGGUUUUUGAUCCUGAGGCAGUAUAUAGGUAAGUCAGGCGAUGGACUGUUGCUAGUCCGGGCGCCAAGGUUUAGGAUUGAAUGAUUUUAGGGCCUGGGUUCUCCAGUCACUCUGUAACCAUUCAAGACUAAUUCUACUUCCCUCACUCCCCCAGCGUACUUUAGGGUGCGCGCAACCAGACUCGUCUGGUUUGGCCUUGCGAUUUAUCGCCCAAGUCUCGGGAUGACAACGUCUCCCCGAGCAAGGAGAAACAGUGGAUUACUAGGCAAUGCCAAAAAUCCCAAACUCAUGAUCAUUCCGAUCUUUUUACUACGAGUCAGUGGACAACCCCAAAAAAAUAACUUCUUA
rnacentral:misc_RNA from 1 species